AUUGAACGCUGGCGGCAUGCCUUACACAUGCAAGUCGAACGGCAGCACGGGGGCAACCCUGGUGGCGAGUGGCGAACGGGUGAGUAACACAUCGGAACGUGCCCAGUAGUGGGGAUAGCUCGGCGAAAGCCGGAUUAAUACCGCAUACGACCUACGGGUGAAAGCGGGGGAUCGCAAGACCUCGCGCUAUCGGAGCGGCCGAUGUCAGAUUAGGUGUGUGGGAAAGGCCUACCAAGCCGACGAUCUGUAGCUGGUCUGAGAGGACGACCAGCCACACUGGGACUGAGACACGGCCCAGACUCCGUACGGGGGGGCAG
rnacentral:rRNA from 1 species